rnacentral:rRNA from 1 species
UAGGGAAUCUUCGGCAAUGGGGGCAACCCUGACCGAGCAACGCCGCGUGAGUGAAGAAGGUUUUCGGAUCGUAAAGCUCUGUUGUAAGUCAAGAACGGGUGUGAGAGUGGAAAGUUCACACUGUGACGGUAGCUUACCAGAAAGGGACGGCUAACUACGUGCCAGCAGCCGCGGUAAUACGUAGGUCCCGAGCGUUGUCCGGAUUUAUUGGGCGUAAAGCGAGCGCAGGCGGUUUGAUAAGUCUGAAGUUAAAGGCUGGGGCUCAACCAUAGUUCGCUUUGGAAACUGUCAAACUUGAGUGCAGAAGGGGAGAGUGGAAUUCCAGGUGUAGCGGUGAAAUGCGUAGAUAUAUGGAGGAACACCGGUGGCGAAAGCGGCUCUCUGGUCUGUAACUGACGCUGAGGCUCGAAAGCGUGGGGAGCGAACAGG